rnacentral:rRNA from 1 species
UAGCUUGCUACCUGACCUAGCGGCGGACGGGUGAGUAAUGCUUAGGAAUCUGCCUAUUAGUGGGGGACAACAUUCCGAAAGGAAUGCUAAUACCGCAUACGCCCUACGGGGGAAAGCAGGGGAUCUUCGGACCUUGCGCUAAUAGAUGAGCCUAAGUCAGAUUAGCUAGUUGGUGGGGUAAAGGCCUACCAAGGCGACGAUCUGUAGCGGGUCUGAGAGGAUGAUCCGCCACACUGGGACUGAGACACGGCCCAGACUCCUACGGGAGGCAGCAGUGGGGAAUAUUGGACAAUGGGCGAAAGCCUGAUCCAGCCAUGCCGCGUGUGUGAAGAAGGCCUUUUGGUUGUAAAGCACUUUAAGCGAGGAGGAGGCUACUUGGAUUAAUACUCUAGGAUAGUGGACGUUACUCGCAGAAUAAGCACCGGCUAACUCUGUGCCAGCAGCCGCGGUAAUACAGAGGGUGCGAGCGUUAAUCGGAUUUACUGGGCGUAAAGCGUGCGUAGGCGGCUUUUUAAGUCGGAUGUGAAAUCCCUGAGCUUAACUUAGGAAUUGCAUUCGAUACUGGGAAGCUAGAGUAUGGGAGAGGAUGGUAGAAUUCCAGGUGUAGCGGUGAAAUGCGUAGAGAUCUGGAGGAAUACCGAUGGCGAAGGCAGCCAUCUGGCCUAAUACUGACGCUGAGGUACGAAAGCAUGGGGAGCAAACAGGAUUAGAUACCCUGGUAGUCCAUGCCGUAAACGAUGUCUACUAGCCGUUGGGGCCUUUGAGGCUUUAGUGGCGCAGCUAACGCGAUAAGUAGACCGCCUGGGGAGUACGGUCGCAAGACUAAAACUCAAAUGAAUUGACGGGGGCCCGCACAAGCGGUGGAGCAUGUGGUUUAAUUCGAUGCAACGCGAAGAACCUUACCUGGUCUUGACAUAGUAAGAACUUUCCAGAGAUGGAUUGGUGCCUUCGGGAACUUACAUACAGGUGCUGCAUGGCUGUCGUCAGCUCGUGUCGUGAGAUGUUGGGUUAAGUCCCGCAACGAGCGCAACCCUUUUCCUUAUUUGCCAGCGGGUUAAGCCGGGAACUUUAAGGAUACUGCCAGUGACAAACUGGAGGAAGGCGGGGACGACGUCAAGUCAUCAUGGCCCUUACGACCAGGGCUACACACGUGCUACAAUGGUCGGUACAAAGGGUUGCUACCUAGCGAUAGGAUGCUAAUCUCAAAAAGCCGAUCGUAGUCCGGAUUGGAGUCUGCAACUCGACUCCAUGAA